rnacentral:lncRNA from 1 species
UUCCCACCAUAGUUAUGACGGCGGCGACCGUCAUGGUGAUGAUGAUGUGAAAAAAAAAAUAACGAUAAGGGAAAACCUUACCUGCGUCCGAUCUUAUCAACCGGCCCGGGUGAUCAUGCCCGGGCAAGUCUGGCUGUUAGGAAAAUGACCUGGCAGAUGUCAAGGCUCAGACCCUCCUCUGGAAAAAGCUUCCUGCCGACCUCUGAGCAAAUGGAUUUAUUGGAGCCACAACUGUCACUUGCCAGGUGAAUUUCAACUCA